AAUCUGUUACUGCGCAGCUGUGUGGGGCCUGGGGGACUUACUGCAAGUCUUUGGAGUGACAUCAUAGCUGUUACUGAGUGCUGCUAACGAUUCUACUGAAAAGCAUGAGCUGCAGGAGACGGUGCCAAUCCUUUUCCUCGUAUCUCAAAGAAAAGAAGUAGACAGACAUCUGCCAGUGUUUGAGGGGAGAAGAGAUGGCUGAGGAGGAGCAGAGGACAGACACGUCUUCUUUUCAUCAAGAUGUGGCCGGCCGUUGUGCCUGCUGUCUUCUGUUCAGCAUCAUUUCAGACCUGUAAAGUCAAAUUAUAGAACCUCUCCCCAUAAUCGAAUGAAGUCCUACAAAAGGAUGAAUUUCAGGCCUAAAACUCUAAGAUUAGCCAGACUUGCCCACAUUUUUGUGCUUUAUCAAGAGUUAUUCACGGGGAAUAGAGAUACCAACAUUCAACUAAAGAUUGAAGAGUUCUGCCAUAGAAGACUACUCUGGAUCACUGCAGUUAUAUUCUUGUCAUCAAACACCCAUCAUAGAGGAGAUGAAGGCAUCUACAGUACAAUUAAAGGGCCUUUAAACAUAGAAAUACAAUUUUUUUUUGCUUCUUUCCUGAUGUGAGAAGAAUACGCAUUUCGUGUGACUUUCACACACUGUUAAAAUUUGUCUGAGGGGUAUUAUGUUAAGCAGUGAUUGAGGGAUGAACUUUUAUUCUUUUAUUGAAUCAUUGUUUCUGAUUUCCCAUCCAUUCCUUCCCAACGACACUAGAUGUGAGGCUGUUGGGUUAAUUAUUCACUGCUUCAGAACACGUGCAACUGUCUCCAGUGAGACAUUCCUUCAUGAAAAAACAUCUCAUGGAACACAUAUUAAGAGAAAUUUCCCCUUGCACAGGUAUUUUAAAGCAUCAGGGUUGAAGCGUGUGCUGAUAUCCUUUGUAAAACCCUUUCAAGAACAAAGUUAUAUGCAAGAAGAGAGUGAGACAGGAUUCAC